rnacentral:rRNA from 1 species
UAACGGCGAGUGAAGCGGGAAGAGCUCAAAUUUGAAAUCUGGCGGUCUCAGGCCGUCCGAGUUGUAAUCUAGAGAGGUGUUUUCCGUGCCGGACCGUGUACAAGUCCCUUGGAACAGGGCGUCAUACAGGGUGAGAAUCCCGUCCAUGACACGGACUACCGGUGCUCUGUGAUACACCUUCAAAGAGUCGAGUUGUUUGGGAAUGCAGCUCAAAAUGGGUGGUAAAUUCCAUCUAAAGCUAAAUACAGGCGAGAGACCGAUAGCGAACAAGUACCGUGAGGGAAAGAUGAAAAGAACUUUGGAAAGAGAGUUAAACAGUACGUGAAAUUGUUGAAAGGGAAACGCUUGAAGUCAGUCGCGUCUGCCAGGACUCAGCCUUGCUUUUGCUUGGUGCACUUCUUGGUGGAUGGGCCAGCAUCGAUUUUGAUUGCCGGAAAAGGGCGGGAGGAAUGUGGCAGCUUUUGC